rnacentral:lncRNA from 1 species
AGAAAGCGCUGGCAGCGGUGCUCCCGAGACCCGACUGCCUGAGAGCUCAGCGCGGUGACCGCGGUCAUUCAAGCAGUUUCUCACAGAUUGCUGUGUGCCCAACUGUUCGUGCUGCAUACUGACUUGACGCCUUCAAUGAAAAGCCAAUGAUGCCGAAAACUAAAAGAAAAAGACAGGGGACUAUAGACGGCUUUUUCAAGAGAAAACAAGGUGGAGAAGGACGGAUACUUAAGCUGAGCAAUGCUCAUCAACUAUUUAACAACAAUGACCACGGCAGACUGGAACCUUGGAUUCUUACCAUGUAAGUAUAAACAAUCCCAUACUGAACAUUAUCACACGCGGAAGACAUGUUAAUUGAAUUACAGGGUAAUUUAGAUACAAACUGUAUAUGCAAAAUUAUAAAAUUAUAAGUGGUAUUUCCCAUUGUACCUUGUAUCAAUCCAUUGAAAAAUGAUCGGUAUCAUGGCUUUGUCAAUAAUCUAAAUCUAAUUUGCACUUUUCUAGAUAAC